rnacentral:rRNA from 1 species
GAUGAACGCUAGCUACAGGCUUAACACAUGCAAGUCGAGGGGUAACGAGAGGAAAGCUUGCUUUCCUUGUCGACGACCGGCGCACGGGUGAGUAACGCGUAUCCAACCUGCCCCCAACUAGGGAAUAACCUUGCGAAAGUAAGACUAAUACCCUAUAAUUUCCUCAGAUGCCAUCUGAAGAGGAAUAAAGAUUUAUAGGUUGUGUAUGGGGAUGCGUCUGAUUAGCUGGUUGGCGGGGUAACGGCCCACCAAGGCAACGAUCAGUAGGGGUUCUGAGAGGAAGGUCCCCCACAUUGGAACUGAGACACGGUCCAAACUCCUACGGGAGGCAGCAGUGAGGAAUAUUGGUCAAUGGGCGGAAGCCUGAACCAGCCAAGUAGCGUGCAGGAUGACGGCCCUAUGGGUUGUAAACUGCUUUUAUACAGGAAUAAAGUUAGCCACGUGUGGUUAUUUGUAGGUACUGUAUGAAUAAGGACCGGCUAAUUCCGUGCCAGCCGCCGCGGUA